CAUCACUGGCGUCAUGCAGCUCCGACGGGGAGCCGGAGAAUCCACGCUGUUAAUAAGUUGGCACUGCCAUGGCUCUACAGUGGCUGCAUCAUAAAAAAGGUCAAAAAAGAAUAGAAAGAAAAAGAGUAUGUUCCCACGCGGAUGCCUCCAACAGAUCCGUUGCGUCGCUACGCAUCGCAACAAGAACAACAACAGCAGCAGGUGGUGGCAUGAAGUCGCGGUCCAGCUUUCGAUGACUCAUUCUUCGUCUCUCCUGCUUCUCUGCGCUUUGUGGGUCCUUCCUUUACCGCUACUCCCCCCAUACAAUUGGGUGUAAGUCUUCGUGUCUUGCUCUCCACAUGCCACCGCUGCACCAGCUCGUCGCCACUUGUUGCUGCAAUGCCUGCAUGGAGUGAUGCCGAUGUCCAUUUUCCGCUGUCUUAGUCUGUCGCUCGGUGGGUCUCCGCGCGGUGCAUCCCCAGUUCAGGCCCUAAUUGCUAUUGUUCUUUGACCUCGCGAUUUCGAGUCUUGGUUUACUGUGCACCUUCAGUGGUGAGGCUUGACGAGUCGGUGCGUGGAGUCAGCUUUCCCCACAAGGCGUCGGUCGCCUGCACCCGCUCCUCUUCACGACUUCUCUCUUCGGCAGUGCCAUCAUGGAUACCGCUUGCAGGUACCUGAUCUCAGUUUCUGCUUCGGUUUGCUUGUCAGCUCCAGUCUACCUUUUGCGCUUACUUCCUUCCGUUGCGGUCAGCGUGAUUUCCAAUGUCUUCUUACCUGAUGUGAAUCUGGCAUGACAUGAUUGGGAAUGGAAUGAAAAUAAUAUAAAAGAAAAUAUAUAUUUUUGUGUCGGGUGUUGAGCUUUCUCAAUCCUAUACGAUUUGCAAGCUUGCAGGGAUUUUGAUUCCUCGCACGCACGUGAAUACAGCUGUAAGUAGCUAGAGCAGCUCGGUCCAAACUCUUGGUCACUGAUUACGAAUAUUCAACACUGAGACUCGCAAUUGAGGAAUUGGCUUGGUUUGACUUCAGUGGCAGUAGGAAGUCGUCUUUUUACAAUCUCGUGAUUAAGAAUCCUUGUCGCGAGUUGUAGGGUUUCCCAUCGGCUUGGAAUCAUGACUAAUCAGGCAUGUUCAGCUGUCAAUGAUACGUAUCAUCUGCGUGCAUUGUUUGUGCUGGACUUAGCAGAAGAAAUGUUUUGUCGGCGACAAACACAAUUUGAUGGCGUGUUACUGACCUGAUUUUCCUCUGCCUCUUUUGUUGAGUUGUUUUGUUUGCUGUCGUUUUCUCCCCUCAGCACCUGUUCCUUUUGAUCGACGUUAGUGAUAAAAUUAUUAAAAGGCUGUCCAACUGUGAUUCGUGAGCACGCUGCUGGUUGCGGAUGACGCUUGAAAUUAAUGUCGCUUUUACAGCUACGAACUACAACAAGUGAGCAAGUAAUGUUUUUUGAUGGGUGUAUGCUGGACGUUCUCAUCGAAAUUGAUAUGCAAUACGACCUAUUGUACAUGGAAUCGUAAAAUAAUGUGUGGUAGUAUGGAUAUCUUCACUGUGAUUCUAUGUGCACUGGAGUACAAUGCAGUGUAGAGGCAACGGAAAUUAUGGGGUGGUUCGUUUUGGGUGGUGGAAAUUCGAACAGGAAGGAUGUAUAUUACAGCUGAUGGUUUGGGUUAUUGAAACUAUNNNNN
rnacentral:lncRNA from 1 species